CCUACGGGAGGCAGCAGUGGGGAAUAUUGGGCAAUGGGCGCAAGCCUGACCCAGCAACGCCGCGUGAAGGAAGAAGGCUUUCGGGUUGUAAACUUCUUUUAAGAGGGAAGAGCAGAAGACGGUACCUCUUGAAUAAGCCACGGCUAACUACGUGCCAGCAGCCGCGGUAAUACGUAGGUGACAAGCGUUGUCCGGAUUUACUGGGGGUAAAGGGCGUGUAGCCGGGCUGACAAGUCAGAUGUGAAACCCCGUGGCUCAACCACGGAACUGCAUUUGAAACUGUCGGUCUUGAGUGUCGGAGAGGCAGGCGGAAUUCCUAGUGUAGCGGUGAAAUGCGUAGAUAUUAGGAGGAACACCAGUGGCGAAGGCGGCUUACUGGACAGUAACUGACGUUGAGGCUCGAAAGCGUGGGGAGCAAACAGGAUUAGAUACCCUGGUAGUC
rnacentral:rRNA from 1 species